rnacentral:rRNA from 1 species
GGUGAACGCUGGCGGCGUGCCUAAUACAUGCAAGUCGAGCGAAAAGACGAGGAGCUUGCGCCCCUGACGGUGGCGGCGGACGGGUGAGUAACACGUGGAUAACCUACCUAUUAGACGGGGAUAAUUACGGGAGACCGGAUCUAAUACCGGAUAAUAUAUUGAACCGCAGGGAGCAAUAGUGAAAGACGCUUUUGCUGGCACUUAUAGACGAUUCCGGGCCGGAUGAGCUAGUUGGUAGGGGAACGGCUCACCAAGGCGACGAUGCGUAGCCGAUCUGAUAGGGUGAUCGGCCACACUGGAACUGAGACACGGUCCAGACUCCGACGGGAGGCAGCAGUAGGGAAUCUUCCGCAAUGGGCGAAAGCCUGACGGAGCAACGCCGCGUGAGUGAUGAAGGUCUUCGGAUCGUAAAGCUCUGUUGUUAGGGAAGAACAAAUGUGUAUUUAACUAUGCACGUCUUGACGGUACCUAAACAGAAAGCCCCGGCUAACUACGUG